rnacentral:rRNA from 1 species
CAGCCGCCACGGUAAUACGUAGGUGGCAAGCGUUGUCCGGAAUUAUUGGGCGUAAAGGGCUCGCAGGCGGUUUCUUAAGUCUGAUGUGAAAGCCCCCGGCUCAACCGGGGAGGGUCAUUGGAAACCGGGAAACUUGAGUGCAGAAGAGGAGAGUGGAAUUCCACGUGUAGCGGUGAAAUGCGUAGAGAUGUGGAGGAACACCAGUGGCGAAGGCGACUCUCUGGUCUGUAACUGACGCUGAGGAGCGAAAGCGUGGGGAGCGAACAGGAUUAGAUACCCCAGUAGUCCCUGUCUCUUAUAC